GCGCCCGUAGCUCAGUGGCCGAGCAUCGCUUUGACGUAGCGGGGGACCUGGUUCGAUUCCAGGCGGGCGCA
rnacentral:tRNA from 1 species